CAGUAGCCGCGGUAAUACGUAGGGUGCGAGCGUUAAUCGGAAUUACUGGGCGUAAAGCGUGCGCAGGCGGUUAUGUAAGACAGUUGUGAAAUCCCCGGGCUCAACCUGGGAACUGCAUCUGUGACUGCAUAGCUAGAGUACGGUAGAGGGGGAUGGAAUUCCGCGUGUAGCAGUGAAAUGCGUAGAUAUGCGGAGGAACACCGAUGGCGAAGGCAAUCCCCUGGACCUGUACUGACGCUCAUGCACGAAAGCGUGGGGAGCAAACAGGAUUAGAUACCCGCGUAGUCCCUGUCUCUUAUAC
rnacentral:rRNA from 1 species